rnacentral:rRNA from 1 species
UACGUAGGGUGCAAGCGUUAUUCGGAAUUACUGGGCGUAAAGCGUGCGCAGGCGGUUAUGCAAGUCAGAUGUGAAAUCCCCGGGCUUAACCUGGGAACUGCAUUUGUGACUGCAUAGCUGGAGUGCGGCAGAGGGGGAUGGAAUUCCGCGUGUAGCAGUGAAAUGCGUAGAUAUGCGGAGGAACACCGAUGGCGAAGGCAAUCCCCUGGGCCUGCACUGACGCUCAUGCACGAAAGCGUGGGGAGCAAACAGG